rnacentral:rRNA from 1 species
GUCAUAUGCUUGUCUCAAAGAUUAAGCCAUGCAUGUCUCAGUACAAGCCAAAUUAAGGUGAAACCGCGAAAGGCUCAUUAAAUCAGUUAUGGUUCCUUAGAUCGUACCCACAAUUACUUGGAUAACUGUGGUAAUUCUAGAGCUAAUACAUGCAAACAGAGCUCCGACCGGAGACGGAAGGAGUGCUUUUAUUAGAUCAAAACCAAUCGGUGGCGGGUUCGCGCUCGUUAUCGUACAACUUGGUGACUCUGAAUAACUUUACGCUGAUCGCACGGUCAUCGCACCGGCGACGCAUCUUUCAAAUGUCUGCCUUAUCAACUGUCGAUGGUAGGUUCUGCGCCUACCAUGGUUGUAACGGGUAACGGGGAAUCAGGGUUCGAUUCCGGAGAGGGAGCCUGAGAAACGGCUACCACAUCCAAGGAAGGCAGCAGGCGCGCAAAUUACCCACUCCCGGCACGGGGAGGUAGUGACGAAAAAUAACGAUACGGGACUCAUCCGAGGCCCCGUAAUCGGAAUGARUACACUCUAAACCCUUUAACGAGGAUCAAUUGGAGGGCAAGUCUGGUGCC